CGCGCGCGGGUGGGAGUCAACGGGUCGCAGAAGGCCCGUCAACGGACCACCGCCGCCGCUCGCCGCGCCGCCAAGGUAGGGGAGGGGGGACGGGGUGGAGAGGUCGCCGGCGGAGGCGAAGCGGCGCGGGACCGCGCCGCCAGCCGGGCGGGGCUGUACCCCCGGUGGACGGAUGGGGGGUAGGGGAUGAAUUCUGUUCUAGCUCUCUCUCGCGUACAGUUCAACUGCAAUCUGUUGGCCUUUGGUUAUAUGGGGAAGCCGUGGGCUCGAAUUGUUUACUGGACCGAUGUUUUGCUCUGGUUUGGUCGGCGUCAUCGACCUGGUCUGGGGUUGUCAUACAUUGCGUAGGGUGAACAUCGUUUUGAAAACUCUCUGUUUUGAGAGGGUCAUCCAGCUGUGUGCUGUAAUAGUGUAAUGUUGCUUUGAGAGGAGUAUGUCAUUUGAUAAUUUGAUUAUUAAACGAAUUGUUUACUGGACUGAUGCUUUGCUCUGGUCUGGUUGGCAUCAUCGACCCGGUCUGGGGUUGUCAUACAUUACGUAGGGUGAACGUUGCUUUGAGAGGGUCAUCCAGUUGUGUGCUGUAAUAGUGUAAUGUUGCUUUGAGAGAAGUAUGUCAUUUGAUAAUUUGAUUAUUCAAGGUGAUUUUGCCCCUGUUUUGACUGUUGACCAGGGGCAAAAUUGCGUUGACUUGUGAAUAGCAAGGGUAAAAUUACAGAGUUAAGAAGGGUAAAGCCAUGAUUGCACUGUAAAGUAGGGCAAUAACAUGAAAACAACAACAACAACAUAGUCUUUUUUCCCAAGCAAGUUGGGGUAGGCUAGAGAUGAAAUCCAAAAGAAACAAUGGUCGCGGUUCAGGCACAUUGAUAGCUAGUUUCCAAGCGCUCGUAUCCAAAGCUAUCUCUUUAGAGAUAUUCCAAUCCUUAAGGUCUCUCUUAACCGACUCAUCUCAAGUCAGUUUAGGUCUACCUCUACCCCUCUUUACAUUAUCGACCCGCUAUAGAACCCCACUACGUACCGGCACAUCAGGAGGCCUCCAUUGGACAUGUUCAAACCAUCUCAACCGAUGUUGGGUAAGUUUCUCCUCAAAUAGUGCCACCCUGACCCUAUCCCGAAUAACUUCGUUCCGGACUCUAUCCCUCCUUGUGUGCCUGCAAAACCACCGCAACAUUCGCAUCUCUACUACACUCAGUUACUGGACAUGUCACCUUUUUGUAGGCCAACAUUACGCACCAUAUAACAUCGCUGGGUGAAUCGAUGUCCUAUAGAACUUGCCUUUUAGCUUUUGUGGCACCCUAAAAGGCAAGUUCUAUAGGGCAAUAACACGAAUGCCUUUACUUAUUUCUCAUUUUAUGGUUUUUUAUAUGCUGUAUCGAUACAGUCGCAUUCAGUAAUGGUUGUACCUGUGACCUGUCGGCAACCUAAGCUAUCUCGCUGGGGAACAAAAACCUAUGUGCCAUCUUGAUAGGCAACAUCCAGUUGCAUAUUUCUAACUAGAUCUUGUUUUUAUGUUCUGUUUUCUUCCUUGUGGGCUAUGUGAAAUUAAUCUUGUCUAAAGUGUUACUGUGGGUGAUUUUUACCUGAAAUUUAAACAAAUAGAAUGAGAUAACAAACCCUUCUAAGUCCAAAGAAGGCAUCGCGCUUCUGAUAAACAGGUACAUCUUGUCAUCAUGGCUCUAGGAUUGAAUCACAUGUUAUUUGUUUCUUCCCCCAUUUUGUUUUUUUUUUCAUAUUUCUUCAAUUCUUGAAUGGGGCCUAUUGUUGUAAUAAGAAGCAUAUGGAUAUGGAGGUAACAGUGAGGACUAGAACCAGGGACCUCCCAAAUAUGAUCUAGGUCAAGCUUUGCUUGGAUAGUUGCUCAAUUGUGAGUUAUAAACAAAUUACUAGUAUCUACACUUAAUUAUGAUUCUAAAAUUCGGAAUGUUCAUUUAGCGAAAUAUAAAUUUCUUGAUAUGGCAAUAGGAUGAUUUAAUUGAACUUCUAAAUCUGAUAAUGUUAUUUGAACCUUCAAACUAAUCUCUUUGUGGUGUUAUAGAGAACAUGCGAUCUUUUUUUCCACUUUUAACAUUGCCUAGCAAAUAUACUAUGCAUUGCUGCGGGCGAAACACAUGUCUUUGUUCCAUGGCAUUUGCACCUUCGCAUUUGAUAUUUGGAGUAUUGUUUUUUUCUUUAGAGUUUUAGUUGGUCGGUAUUGUGGUAUUCUGGUACUAGCUAUUGUGUUGAUGCUUGGUGAAACCUGUACACUAUUGCUUGUGUGUUGAGGAAGGCCACAAUUUAUUCAUUAAGAUAAUUUUUUUUGCAUUUCUCCAUCACAUAUUUGUGAAGCCUUACAUAUUCUUUCAUUUUACGUAUGAAUCCCUUUGGUGCCAUUCUUUUCAUGCUCCAGGUCCAUCUAUAUUGAUAUGGUUCUCAGGGAAAGAGAAGCAUAAUAUUGUUCCAUUUGUCCAGAGUAAUUGUUGGAUAAUGUAAUGUGACCCCAAUAAUGUUUUCGCCGAAAGUCUUGCUCCCUCUACCAUUAAUGGAGCUCCUAGCCCUCAUAUUUCAAGCAGACAACAUGGAAUGUUGUGUUGCUCCGGCGGCAAGAAAUCCAAACUGAUCUCUCCGAAGUGGUGGUCACAUAGAGGACCUUCUAGAUGAGAUUGAGAUUGAAAAUCUCUCUACAACGUCGUAACCAUCGCACUUGGCCUCUGAGAAUGCAAUAACCCCGUCUCUUCCCUAUGGGGCACAUGGUGAUGGUCAUACUUCAUAGCAGUGGCAUAUGGUUGCAAAGGUAGUAGGCAGGAGUAUGAUUAAAUGUGGGAGUGGGUGGUAGCUAGCCAUGACAGUGGUGGAGUGCUGAUAGCGCCGACACCAACCAUGGAGGAGCUCUCAAAAUGACUAGAAGGAGGAAGGAUAAGAAAGGGAGGAAUAAGAAGGUAGGGGCACAAUCCUUUAGUGCAACGCUCGAGUGGGCCUAAAAAGUGUACAUGGCGUGCUAGCUCAACAAAAUGUUAACUUUUCAAUAAAUAAUGAGCUGUAAAUACCAAUUUUGUCCAAGUUUUUCGGAAGGACAACAUUAAGAAUGCACCCUCUAAAAUAAUGGAAAAGGUUAAUUGCCUCGAACCAAGCGUGAACGUCAAACUACCACAACUUAUGCUGAUGCAUUUGAAGGACCAAUAUUUCAGCUGGUAGAGUGUUGGACUCUUCAGUUCCAAUGUUGACACCUAUGUUCAUAUUUGUAAAGGAAUAGUCAUUAUAAAAUAAUCCAUCUCAUGAUAAUAUUGCUA